rnacentral:rRNA from 1 species
UUCUUUUUCCACCGGAGCUUGCUCCACCGGAAAAAGAGGAGUGGCGAACGGGUGAGUAACACGUGGGUAACCUGCCCAUCAGAAGGGGAUAACACUUGGAAACAGGUGCUAAUACCGUAUAACAAUCGAAACCGCAUGGUUUUGAUUUGAAAGGCGCUUUCGGGUGUCGCUGAUGGAUGGACCCGCGGUGCAUUAGCUAGUUGGUGAGGUAACGGCUCACCAAGGCGACGAUGCAUAGCCGACCUGAGAGGGUGAUCGGCCACAUUGGGACUGAGACACGGCCCAAACUCCUACGGGAGGCAGCAGUAGGGAAUCUUCGGCAAUGGACGAAAGUCUGACCGAGCAACGCCGCGUGAGUGAAGAAGGUUUUCGGAUCGUAAAACUCUGUUGUUAGAGAAGAACAAGGAUGAGAGUAACUGUUCAUCCCUUGACGGUAUCUAACCAGAAAGCCACGGCUAACUACGUGCCAGCAGCCGCGGUAAUACGUAGGUGGCAAGCGUUGUCCGGAUUUAUUGGGCGUAAAGCGAGCGCAGGCGGUUUCUUAAGUCUGAUGUGAAAGCCCCCGGCUCAACCGGGGAGGGUCAUUGGAAACUGGGAGACUUGAGUGCAGAAGAGGAGAGUGGAAUUCCAUGUGUAGCGGUGAAAUGCGUAGAUAUAUGGAGGAACACCAGUGGCGAAGGCGGCUCUCUGGUCUGUAACUGACGCUGA